rnacentral:lncRNA from 1 species
GUUCUCUCCCCGCGCCGCCGCCGGGGGGCAGCGCGGCUCCACCCAGCCACGGGUGCGCCGCUGGGAGACGGCCGCGAGGGGGCGCCCGCGCGCUGUUGCCCGAUCCCGUCUUCGCAUGGGUCGCCCCGCCGCGUGCUGUGGGGCUCUGCAGGCAGCGGCAAAGCUCACGUACUUCUGCAAGAACGCAGUUUGUUUUUUAGACGGAAUGCAGUUGAAGAAAACAAAAAACUGUAUGCAAUUUAUGAUACAAGGCAGAGCACAGCAUAUGAAACUGUCCAAGCGCAGAGCAUUCCCUUAGCCCUGAUGCUGAGCAUCCACUGCCCAGCAUCCUGCUGUCACUCCAGUCUUCUGCUUCUGCUGAGAUACUGUUGAGAGGAAAAUAAGAAAGUUGAGCUUUCUGCAAAGAAAAAAACAAACAAACAAGCAAAAAAAAAACCCUACUGUGUUUCUGUUGAAGAGUGUUUUGGCAAAAAUGGCCAUCAACUUUUGAUUAAAUAAAGGAAGAAGUCAGGCCUGGGGAAAAAAUAAA